GGCAAAAAAAAUUUUUUUGUAAUUAAAAAAUCAUCAUGGCUCCUUUAAGAGGCUUUUUUUUGCUGGUGGCCAUUUUGUUUUUCUGUUCCAGCUACAAGAUAAGCCCCUGCUGAAUCAGUUCCCAGAGUGACCAUCAAGAGGCGCCAUACCAGUGAGUAGAAUUCCACUACAAUAAGCUAUUAUGAAGGGCUGAGCUACUCCACCAUAGAUGAGAUCUCCUCUGGUGUCUUGUCCACAGAUCCAUUAACCAAAGCAUCCAAGCAACCCGUAUCUAUUAAAUAAAGCAGUAAGAAAAGAUAAACUUAUUGAAACUGCCAUUCACUAAUGCCUGCUGUUCCAAAGCAAACAUAAGGAUUAAAUUAAAGAGGAAAAGCAAGAGGGGAGGAGAAGACAAUUACCUCAAUGUCUCCCAGUGGCAUUUGCCGAUAAGUGCGAUAAGAGAAUUAAGCAUCAUUUUGACACACUCUGCCUAUUUAUAAGGAGCCGGCACCGCACAAAGCCACGAAGCAAAGUAAUAGAGGGAGAAAAGGAAGAUGAAAAACAAUUAACUAAAUCCAGGUGACUCCACUGAUCUACACACAGCAGAGUCAGAACUCAGACCUCCUCUGGCUAUUGUCUGUGCUUCCAAGACUCGCUUUGGUGAGGUACUGCAAGCCUCCUGCAAAAUGCCCAAUGGCUUCAACUUCCAUUAACUUUAUAGGGAGCUGAAGGCACCCAGCACCUGACAGAAUCAGACCUCUAAGAAAAGACUUAAUGGGCCAGAUUCUGGUCUUGACUCCAGCCCCUUUGUACCUCUCUGGCAGGGAAAGGGGGAUGGUGACAGUGAAGGAGGAACUGUGAGCAGGCUCACCCAGUUCUAUCCCCUGUGAAUGCCAGAGGGCACAGGUGAGCGUGGGAAGUCCAGAGAUGGGGGAGGAGCUGGUGUGAGAGACACUCUAGUGAUCGCCAGCUUUCAGAGCAGCCUUUGAGGAGCAGGUACAAGUUGUCAGCACAUGUUGCAUCACUGAGGAAUUCUGGAGCAGCUGAGGGUCCAGCCCAGUGUUCCCUGAAAGACAGUGGUUCUUAAACUUUUUGACCUGUGGUCCACUCUGCUCAACACAGACCUUUCCAUGGACAACCAACCAACCACCCAUGAUGACAAAAUGGGUGCAGGAAGGGGUGGGGUCUAGCUAGGAGGUAGUAUGCAGCAGUGGGCUGUGUGUGUGUGGGGGGGUUCUGAGUGGGAAGAUGGGUGCAUGAGUGGGGUGAGGGUAGGGACGGGUUUGGGGAGGGAGGGUGCAGGAGCAGGGUAGGGAUGGGAGGUUUAGGAGGGAGAGUGCAAGAAUGGGGUGGAGGUGUAGAGUCUGGGUGGGAGUGGGGUGCAUGAGGUGGAUGGGGGUGCAGGGUCUGGGCCUAGCUCUGUGCCUCCCACUGCUCCCAGGCACCACCUCCGCUGCUUCCACUGGCUGUAAUUCUGGCCAAUGGGAGCAGUGAGGAAAGCUUCCAGGCAAGUGGUUUCCUGUGCUGUCAUUCCCCCAGGCUGGGGAGGUGGAGUGGCAAUGCAGGGAGCUGUUUCCUUCCCCCACAAGCCAGAUCCAGCCCGCGAGACUUGCUCCCCUCCCCACAGUGGGAAGCCAGUGUUGGCACUCCAACCUUGCAUGGGGGGCAGAGCUGGAGCACCAGCACAGGCUCCCUGCUGCAGAGGGGGGUGAGCCCCAAGCCCAUGGCCCAC